rnacentral:lncRNA from 1 species
AAAUCUGUCACUUGGUGCCAAGAUUCAUCCAAGGAAGCACGCUCAAAAAUGAAAUUUUGGCAGUAGAUUACUGCUGGCCGACUGGCAACGAGGACCCCAUCAAAGGUGUAUAAGGAGAACGCCAGUGAUCACUGGUUUGCAGUAGUGUUUCCUCAGCAAAAGACAUCCAACAGAACUGUGAAGGAGUUGCUCCUAGGAAGUGGAUCCAAGAAAUGCCAAGAAUGGUCUCUUCUUUUUUUCUUUUUUUUUUUUUUCUGAGACUGGGUCUCACUUUGUCACCAGGCUGGAGUGCAGUAGCCUGAUCUUAGCUCACUGAAGCCUCGACCUCCUGGGCUCAAGCAAUCCUCCCACGUUAGCCCCCAAGUAACUGGGACUACAGACACACACCACCACUCCUGGCUAAUUUUUUUUUUUUUUUUUGUAAAGACAAGGUUCUGCCAUGUUGCCCAGGCUGGUUUCGAACUCCUGAGCUCAAGCAAUCAGCCCACCUUGGCCUCCCAGUGUGUUAGGAUUACAGGCAUGAGCCACCACUCCCAGCAAGAAUAGUCUCUAUUGAAUACCGUAGUGUGCUAUCCAUAUGUCUCUACUUCGGUACUCGUCAGUCCUUCAAAGACAUCCAAGACCAUGCUUCCUCUGCAGCACCACUCCUUAUCCAACGACCAGUAGAUGCUGGAAUUAAAGAACCAGACCCCUCGCCAUGAUUUGCGACAACUCUAAAGGCCUUCCCAGCUCCCGAGCUCUCCAGAAGACAGGCUGAGGUUUUUAUUGUGACUGCAUCAUAGUUCAAUUUCUUUCACUUCCACAGGUGUUAAUUCCAAAAACAAUCCCCAAUAAACUUCCU